rnacentral:rRNA from 1 species
UACGGGAGGCAGCAGUGGGGAAUAUUGCACAAUGGGCGCAAGCCUGAUGCAGCCAUGCCGCGUGUAUGAAGAAGGCCUUCGGGUUGUAAAGUACUUUCAGCGGGGAGGAAGGCGAUGCGGUUAAUAACCGCGUCGAUUGACGUUACCCGCAGAAGAAGCACCGGCUAACUCCGUGCCAGCAGCCGCGGUAAUACGGAGGGUGCAAGCGUUAAUCGGAAUUACUGGGCGUAAAGCGCACGCAGGCGGUCUGUUAAGUCAGAUGUGAAAUCCCCGGGCUUAACCUGGGAACUGCAUUUUGAAACUGGCAGGCUUGAGUCUUGUAGAGGGGGUAGAAUUCCAGGUGUAGCGGUGAAAUGCGUAGAGAUCUGGAGGAAUACCGGUGGCGAAGGCGGCCCCUGGGACAAGACUGACGCUCAGGUGCGAAAGCGUGGGGAGCGAAACAGGGAUUAGGAUACC